rnacentral:rRNA from 1 species
CCUGGUUGAUCCUGCCAGUAGUCAUAUGCUUGUCUCAAAGAUUAAGCCAUGCAUGUCUAAGUAUAAGCACUUGUACUGUGAAACUGCGAAUGGCUCAUUAAAUCAGUUAUCGUUUAUUUGAUUGUACUUUACUACAUGGAUACCUGUGGUAAUUCUAGAGCUAAUACAUGCGAAAAAUCCCGACUUCUGGAAGGGAUGUAUUUAUUAGAUUAAAAACCAAUGCGAGUCUUCGGGCUCGUUUUCUUGGUGAUUCAUGAUAACUUUUCGAAUCGCAUGGCCUAGCGCCGGCGAUAUUUCAUUCAAAUUUCUGCCCUAUCAACUGUCGAUGGUAAGGUAGUGGCUUACCAUGGUUAUAACGGGUGACGGAGAAUUAGGGUUCGAUUCCGGAGAGGGAGCCUGAGAAACGGCUACCACAUCUAAGGAAGGCAGCAGGCUCGAAAAUUACCCAAUCCCAAUUCGGGGAGGUAGUGACAAGAAAUAACGAUACGGGGUCUUAAUAGGUCUCGCAAUUGGAAUGAGUACAAUUUAAAUCCUUUAACGAGGAUCAAUUGGAGGGCAAGUCUGGUGCCAGCAGCCGCGGUAAUUCCAGCUCCAAUAGCGUAUAUUAAAGUUGUUGCAGUUAAAAAGCUCGUAGUUGGAUUUCGGAGUGGGCCAGUUGGUCCGCCGCAAGGUGUGUUACUGACUGGUUUGCUCUUCUUCGCAAAGACUGCGUGUGCUCUUUGUUGAGUGUGCGUAGGAUUUACGACGUUUACUUUGAAAAAAUUAGAGUGUUCAAAGCAGGCUAUUGCUUGAAUACAUGAGCAUGGAAUAAUGGAAUAGGACUUUGGUCCCAUUUUGUUGGUUUCUAGGACCGAAGUAAUGAUUAAGAGGGACAAUUGGGGGCAUCCGUAUUUCGUUGUCAGAGGUGAAAUUCUUGGAUUUACGAAAGACGAACAACUGCGAAAGCACUUGCCAAGAGUGUUUUCAUUAAUCAAGAACGAAAGUUAGAGGAUCGAAGACGAUCAGAUACCGUCCUAGUUCUAACCAUAAACGAUGUCGACUAGGGAUCAGCGGGCGUUAUCGUACGACCCCGUUGGCACCUUACGGGAAACCAAAGUUUCUGGAUUCCGGGGGAAGUAUAGUCGCAAGGCCGAAACUUAAAGGAAUUGACGGAAGGGCACCACCAGGAGUGGAGCC